GGCACUGUGGCUUAGUGGUUAAAGUGCCUGCCUUCUAAACAGGAAAUCCUGGAUUCAAAUCCCGGCAGUGCCU